rnacentral:rRNA from 1 species
ACAAGACGAGAAGACCCUUUGGAGCUUAAGACAUACAGUCAACUGUGUCAAACAUUUUACUUAAAAAACUUAAACAAAACAAUAACUGACCCUACGUCUUCGGUUGGGGCGACCGCGG